UAAUAUACUUUAUAGUACUGAAGAUUCUAAGACCACAAGUCAUUAUGUAUCAAUAAUUGUUAUAUUAGUGUUAUAGUAGUUGUGUUUACUGUUUAGUGUUUUGUGCCGUUUCCACCAUAGGCCCCUACAGAAAAUAUUAAUAAUAAAACUCCGUCCAAACGUACACGAAGUAAAGUCACUUGUUUAACGAAAACUCCAGUAAAGAAUAUCCGAUAAAGCAAUCUUCAUUCAAGAUGCCAACAAUGAAAAUGUUUAUUAUCAAACCGACCAACAAACCAACAGUAGUUUCAAUGAGUAAUUUUGUCGGUCACUUUUACGCUACAGAAAAACGGUUAGAAUCUCCCGUAACUCUAACUAAGAGCAGGGAAAUGCUUUAUGAAUCAAGUUCUUAUGCACAAAUUUCUCAAUGUAUUAAAUGUUUAAAGCAACAAUUAAGAACUGUUAUCCGCAAAUACUAUCUCAUUGAAAUUUAGCAAAAUAUUGUAGCGGAUGAGCAUGGCUGGACGUUAAUUAAUUCUACGACUUCAAGAUGACCGUGAUUACUUACACCAAGGGAUUGAUACAACAACAACAAGCUUACUACUGAACAUAAAUAAAUUCAUUUUGCUGAAUUUAAUCAAGUUAGACUCGAGAGAUGUCAUAGUUAAUUUAUAGAAAAUGAUGCAAAUCGAUGUAUACUUAACAAAAGCCAAGUUCUGCUCUGAAUGCUUAAAACUUCUUGAUACAAUUAAAAAAUCAUCAACGACAUGGACGUCAAAGGAAACAACGAGAAUCGGAUGUUAGUUCAAGUUGACGCAUCGCCGUACUGAUUUUUUUUUUUAACUGCACUUAUAAAAUUAAUUUUU